rnacentral:rRNA from 1 species
AUCCUGGCUCAGGAUGAACGCUAGCGGCAGGCCUAAUACAUGCAAGGCGAAGGGGCAGCAAUGUCACUGUCGUACGGGUGCGUAACGCGUAUGCAACCUACCUAUCACAGGGGAAUAGCCUUUGGAAACAGGGAUUAAUACCGCAUAAAGCAGGGACACCGCAUGGUGAUAUUGCUAAAGAUUUAUCGGUGAUAGAUGGGCAUGCGUCUGAUUAGUUAGUUGGCAGGGUAACGGCCUACCAAGACGAUGAUCAGUAGGGGGCGUCAGAGCGUGGUCCCCCACACUGGCACUGAGAUACGGGCCAGACUCCUACGGGAGGCAGCAGUAGGGAAUAUUGGGCAAUGGAUGCAAGUCUGACCCAGCCAUGCCGCGUGCAGGAAGAAGGUCCUCUGGAUUGUAAACUGCUUUUAUCGGGGAAGAAUAGUUUUCUUGCGAGGGAAUGUGACGGUACCCGAUGAAUAAGCCACGGCUAACUACGUG